CCACAGCAGAUUUUUAAAAAAAGUCAAAAUGCUCAAAUGGUUCUCUGAAUCUGUGCAUCAGUCUUACAAACCAGUCUAUUCUAAUUUGAUGGAUAUAUACAUUGCUGAAAGUCAUAGCAUGCGGCAAGCAUUUGCCGUCCUCUGGGUGAUUGUGGUGGAUUACUGUGGAUUCUUUGACAACCCACUCCCCAUCUCUGCUUUCUGAUGGAUGCGGGGAAGGUGUGGUGGGGGAAAGAAGAUACAAUUGGACUUGUAGGAGGUUUCCGGGCUUUUGACUUGAAAUAAAUUGGCAGUUUGAUGGGACUAUCCUUUGUGCAGUUGAAGAUUACACAUUAUCUUGGUGCUUAGUCAACCCAGAAAGUUAAUGGCCUUAACUUGGACAUUAAUAAAACAUAACAACUGAAGGACAUGUUUGAAGAGGCAAAGUGCAGCUGAAUGGAAAUAGGAAUGGAUCUAUAAAGUUUUUAUUCCUGUGAGCUCAUUCACACAUCACCUUGAGGCUAGUUGCUUGUUAACUUUAGAAACCGUUAAUGGUGUGAAAAAGAUAAGGUUUCGUUCUGAUACACCAGAACAUCUUGCCUCAUAGUCUAAAGUGUAACUUCUGACCAAGUUCACAUAGUUCGUAUUUCCCUAAAGAAUGACUUUGAUGUCCAUGAGAGGCUGGGAAUAAAAAAGUAGCAGCUUUGUUGCAGAGAAACAGAGUGAAAGUUUAUUCAGGGUGAGGGAAAAUGGCAAGUAAGUUUAAAUUUUUUUUAUCCAAGUGUGUAGUUUUGGGGUGUCUAGGGAGGGGUAGCACUUUUGGUGAAGGGGCUUGUGUGUCCAUUCAGGGGAAGUCAACUCACCUUUGGUCCCCAGUGGACGCUCAGCUCUCAGAAGAGAAAAUCUGCAGAUGCUGGAAAUCUGCACGAUACACAGAACUCAGUAGGCCAGGCAGCAUCUAUGGAAAAAAAGUACAGUUGAUGCUUUGGGCCAAGACCCUUCAGCAGGACUGGAAAAAAGAUGAGGUUAAUGUAAGAAGGUGGGAGGAGGGGAAAAAGAAGUACA